AACGAACGCUGGCGGCAUGCCUAACACAUGCAAGUCGAACGAGACCUUCGGGUCUAGUGGCGCAGGGGUGCGUAACGCGUGGGAACCUGCCCUUAGGUUCGGAAUAACUCCCCUUAAGGGGUGCUAAUACCGGAUAAUGUCUUCGGACCAAAGAUUUAUCGCCUUUGGAUGGGCCCUCGUUGGAUUAGCUAGUUGGUAGGGUAAAAGCCUACCAAGGCGACGAUCCAUAGCUGGUCUGAGAGGAUGAUCAGCCACACUGGGACUGAGACACGGCCCAGAAUCGUACGGGAGGCAGCAGUGGGGAAUAUUGGGCAAUGGGCGAAAGCCUGAUACAGCAAUGCCGCGUGAGUGAUGAAGGCCUUAGGGUUGUAAAGCUCUUUUACCCGGGAUGAUAAUGACAGUACCGGGAGAAUAAGCUCCGGCUAACUCCGUG
rnacentral:rRNA from 1 species